rnacentral:rRNA from 1 species
UACGUAGGGUGCAAGCGUUAAUCGGAAUUACUGGGCGUAAAGCGUGCGCAGGCGGUUGUGCAAGACCGAUGUGAAAUCCCCGGGCUCAACCUGGGAAUGGCAUUGGUGACUGCACGGCUAGAGUGUGUCAGAGGGGGGUAGAAUUCCACGUGUAGCAGUGAAAUGCGUAGAGAUGUGGAGGAACACCGAUGGCGAAGGCAGCCCCCUGGGCUAGCACUGACGCUCAGGCACGAAAGCGUGGGGAGCAAACAGG